GGUUCCAACUCAAACUUUUGAGUUUCCAGCUAAGUUCUCCUUUGGUUCACUAGCUUCCACUACACCAAAAACUAGUUUUCACAACACAUCCAUAUAACUCUAUUGAAAAAGUAUUAUAAUAUCUAAAAAGCUAAACCUAAAAAGUGACAAAACAAAAAAAAAAGGCGGACUUUACAAAAUUUGGGCCUACACUCAAAAAAUUAAGCAACACACUUGAACUUAUCAAAUUCUUCAUUUCCCCUCAUCUCUCUCUUCUUUCGUCUCUCUCUCAUCUUUUCCCCAUUCUAUCUCUCUCCAUUUUGUCUAAUCUCAUUAUUCAAGAGCUUGGAAAGAACAAAAAGAGAAAAUUUGUUAUUUUGAUGUAUCAUCAAUCUCUAUCUCUUGAGCUUUCAACAAUGGAGCUCUAGCCUUCAAUAUUCUGGGAGUAUAAAGUGGUUUCUAUUAUCACAAGCUUCUUCAUCAUCCAACAAGUCAUCUAUUGUCCAUCAUCUGGUAGAUAUUUUCUUCGAACAACCAAAACUAAGGGUUGCAACUUUGAAGAAUGCCUAUUGUACAAAGAAGAGAGAGAGUGCGAUGGCUAUUGGUAAACUUGGAUAUAACAAGGUCAUCUAGUAAGAAGGAAAAGAUGAUGGAGAAGAAAUAACAUUUGACUGCAAUUGAAAAUGAGAAUGUAAGGAUGGAUGUUGUAUUCUACACAGUUGGGAGUACAUUUUGCUUGUUGUUGUAAGCCUACUUCAAGCUUUAUACAACUAUUGGCUUGAAGUUGAUCACUUACAAUCAAGAUUGAGCACUGCAUCACAAUGUCAUUAUGUUAGUUUGUGCCAUUUCAGUAAUACCACUAGAGUCUUGUAGAUGAUUUAGACAGUUAUUUACAUCUUUUGCAUACAAUUACCAAUGAUGAUUUACUAUUUUGUAAGCCUAGAUUAGGCAAAAUAUUAUAAUUCUAUUCAAGUCACUACACCAAAUACCUCUUUCUAUAAUACAUAAUUAUAAGCUAAUGGGAAAAGUAUUAUAAUAGGUAACCUAAAAAGUUAGAAAGCAAGUUAAAAUGGAGGGAAACAAAAAAAAAUUGUAGAUCUUUUAUAUAUUUAAAAAAGAAAAACAAAACCCUAUAUUCCCUAUCUCAUCCCUCGAUCUCUUCCGUUCUUUUUCUCUCUCUUUCUCCAGUCACUGCCUUCCUUCUCUCCAUUCUAUCUCCCUCUCUGUCUUGCAGUGGCUAAAGGAGGCUACAGGGCUUGCAGUGCGAGGUGGGACGGGGAGGCUAGCAAUGCAAGGUGGGAUGGCGUGUUGGUUUCAUGUUCGGCGAAGCUGGGUUCAACGAUGGGGUUUAGGCUUCAUUCAAUCAGGUUGUGCUCUCUGCC